UUCUGUUGGUUCACUCCCCAAAUGGCCACAACAGUUGGAGCUGCAUUGAUCAGAAGCCAGGAACGAGGAGCUUCUUCCUGCUCUCCCAUGUGGGUGCAGAGGCCCAAGGACUUGGUCAUGUUCCACUGCCUUCCCGGGCCACAUCAGAGAGCUGGUUUGGAAGUGGAGCAGCCGGGACUAGAACUGGCGCCCAUAUGGGAUGCCGGCACUGCAGGCAGAGGAUUAACCACUGGGCCAUGGCCCUGGCCCCUCCAUAUUUCCUUUGGAUAUGUUCCUAGGAGUGAGACAGCGAGGUCAUAGGGUAGGACUAUUUUUAGCUUUCUAAGGAAUCUCCGUGCUAUUCUCCAUAAUUGUAAUACCAAUUUGCAUUCCCACCAGCAGUGUAUUAGGGUACCUUUUUCUCUACAAACUUGCCAGUAUUUGUUGUUUUUUGAUUUUUGGAUAAUAGCUAUCCUAACUGGAGUGAGAUGAUCCCUCAUUGUGGUUUUAUUUACAUUUCCCUGGUGGCUAGUUAUCUUGCGAGUUUUCUUCUUGUGUUUGUUGACCAUUUGUAUUUCCUCAUGUGAAAAAAAAGUUCAUAUUUUUGUCCCUUUCUUAACUGCAUUGUCUGUCUUGUUAUGGUUGCCUGAACUCCUUAUGUAUGCUGGAUAUUAAUCCUACACCAAGAUGCAUAGUUUACAAAUAUUUUUCCCAUUAGAAAUCCAAUCCUUUCAGCGUACCCCAUGACUGCUCCUUAAGUUUUCCCCUUCUUCACUCUGCACUUGACCUUCCAAGUUCUGUUCCUGAACCGAAUCCGAUGGAAUCCGCCCUGUCUCUCUGUGACGUGUGUUUUUCGGUGGUGAGCUGCAAUCCUCAAGUUUCGGUUAAAUGCCAGUCCUCAGAAGCCCUUUGUAACCGUUCAGUACUUAACAAAACUCCCAAUUUCAGUUUCAUAUCCUAAGUACAUUUACGCUACUUAACGGUCGUUUUCACGUGAAUCCUGUCUUUAAAAUUCCUUCCCCAGUUUGAUUUCUGCAGCAAAUACUGCUCGCAUUGAAACCGACAGAUGUCAAGCGUGUCAGCUUCAUUCCUGUGCUGUGCGUUUCCUGUGCUCUCCUCAGACAUUUCUAGAAACUCACUGGGUGAGAGAGCCUGCCCCACACAGGGCUCCUCCUCUGCUUGCACCCCAGGGGGGCACUUCCUGUUGCCCUAACUUUGGCCUGACCUGUUUGUUUCACGAACAACCUUCUUUAAUCCUGCUGGGUAGAAGAAGGGACAGUUCUUCCUCAGGAGGGGAGAGCAGGCCUGCUGUGCGGGUACCUCUUGCCCAGUUUUCACAUGAAACAGACUUGGAAAGAAAGGAAACCCCAAACCCCUGGAAAGAACACUAGUGGCCUUGUAGAGGCCAAAGCAAAGUGGGUGUUGGCGCUGGGGAGAGAGGAGGCUGCUGGGCAGAAGGCUGGGCCGAGACAGCCCUGGCCCUGCCCUCGCUCGUGGGCCACUGCACCCCAGCUCCGGUCCCAUGCCCCACCUGAACCACACGACCAAGAUGGAAUGGAACUGCCCCGUGUGCAGGCGAUGGCAAGACACAGUUCUAGCGUGACAGCGGCGACAGAGCCCUUCGAAUCUGUGGAAUACUCAGGUUGCCCGCUGGGACACUGAUGUGGGAACUCUGGCUACACACCCGCUCCAUCCAGGUGUUGAUGGGACAGGGGCAGGAAAGGUGUACACAUUGUCUUUCUCAGGUCCCUGUAUCAAAAGACAGGUUAACAAAAAAACAGCAGGACAAAUCUGUCUGAUCGUUGUUCUGUGUGACACAAGACCUUCAGAUGGAAGACCCAGGGACCCGGGAGGGACUGUCCGUUUUUAUGCUAUUGUUUGAGGAGGCAUGCACAACUGUGGGCAACUGUGAUUGAAUUAAUGGUUGUGCUGACAGUUAGUAGGCUGAGAGGGAGACCCAGCAGAGGCUAUCCAGUCUUCUCGGUCUCCCUGUGCACUGUUCUCUCCAGCCUGGGCAGAGGGCAGACCCUUUGUGGAACAGGGGUCUUUCCAGCUACAACCGAACAAGGAAGGUCAGAGGUUCUCUGUGGCUAAUUCUCACCCAGAAAGGUAGGGGGAGCAUAGAGGAGCAUUUCUAGGUUCUAUGGCUGGCUUGGAGGGCUGGGGUUCUGUUUUCAAGGUCUGCUUUGUGGGAGAGGAAUUGGGGAGUGGGAGGGGUGAAGGACAGGUGGUCAGGGCAAAGCUGUGGCUCCGACGCUUCAGCUUGGGGUAUUGUUUCAUGAGCCCCAAUGACCCCACUGAGUAUUCAUAGCAAUGCUAUGCUUUAAAGAUAAGAAAAAAUCCUCAUUUUAUGAUCUUAGAAACUGAGAUUCACAGAGAUUAAGUAGCCUUUUUAAGGUCCAUAUUUAGUAAGUAGCAAAUAUGGGACUUGAACCCAAGUCUAGUUGACUCCAAAUCAUGUUUUUCCAACUCCUUUACUGCUUUGCACACUUAACUAGAUGAGAGAAGACAGCUUUGGCAAAGGAUUUUGUUCUUGAAUUAUAUAACCUCAGAAGGAUUGAAGGAUCAUUUGGCUACUUAAAGGACAUUGAACAACCUGUUUUUGUCCUUAAGAUGGUCAGUACUUUAGCCUGAUUAUUUAGCAAAAUACAGUUCUAACUAUUUUUAUUUUAAAAAAGAAAAGCUGCUGGCUGCUACAGUGAGAACAUGAUUUGGUUCUCCAGGUCAUCCAGAUGUGUAAACUCCAAAGUCACCGGUUAACAGUAGGAAGAGGGUAACAACACAAUGUAACUCCGGUGUCUAGGGGUGGCCCUUUGUAAGCUAUACUUUCUAAGGACAGCCAGCCAUCGUCUCUCCUGCCCAUGGCAUUCUGAGCGGUCUUGGGACUCUGCCAGCCCGAAUGCCGAGACCAGACACCAACCCAGCAGAGGUGCCUGGCAGUGGAAGUGGCCCUCCAAAACCAUGAGCUGAAAUAUUCCUGUUUCGUUGCUAAGCAUCUGGCCUUAGGUACUUCAUUCUAAUCCUGAAAAUCUGGCAUGUGAAUUUCACUCGUUGGAUGGUAACAACUACAGUCUCUUUGCAGUUCAGCAAAGAAGUGAACCAAUGCACCAGUGAGAAUAAACGUGGAAAGUUUAUGUGGACACCUACCCCUUGCCCAUUUCCCAAUAGUCAGGAGAGGGUGCUCUCACUUAGCCUGUUAAUUUUUUCCAUUGUUAAAGAACUCCCCUACCCAAACAUAACUGCGUUAGAAAGAAAGUAUGCAGUGUGACCUUAGACACACACUGUGAGGUCCAGAGAUGGCGGUGGUGUGAUGUCAUGGAGGAAAUACCCGGAGACUUGGUGCCCGUUCCACCUGCGCACAGCAGCCCCUUGGGUUCUUGAUGUUCUCUUAGGCGUUGUGUCCAUUGCUCAGCUGCUUUGAAAUCUUCACACGGGAAACAGUGUUCCAAUUUCUCUGCUAACUGGUGCUAUUUUCUGAAGCAGACAAGGGCACAGAGUAGUAACACAAAACUCACCACAACGGCAGGAACAAUGGGUGCUUCUGCCUCGCGUGCUUGCCAGCAAACAAACGAUGUCUUGAAAAAGAUACUCAGCAGGUAAUAAAACAGACUCUGGCUCCCUCGAAUUCUUCCGGGACUUUAUACAUGCUGCUGUUUAACGUGUCUUAUCAGAUACGGUGCAUAGACACGGCCGUCACAUUUGGAAUAAACACAAGCUUUAUGUGCCACACAUAUGGAAACAGGAUGCAUUUCCAAGAAGUCCGAAAGAAAGCACUUCGACUCAUUUUUAUUUCACUAUUGUUCAUUUCCAUGUAAUGGGCGACUCCCAUCCUCCAAGGCGAGGACAUUCACAGUUGCAAGUAAUCAGAUGGGUUUCCUGGUGCGCAGCGUUUUUAGUGUCAGCGUCAGUGUCAGUGUGUGUGUAAGACCUGGAGCAUAUAUGCAGACAUGGGCCUUCAUAUGUGGGGGGUUCAGCUAAAGAUCUGCGUCUCUUAGUGUCUGCCAAGGUCAUCUUUGAUGCUAUCUUAAUAAAACGUAUAGGAAAAUAUUCUAUCAAGGUACUCAUUUCUAAUUGAUUUUUAUGCAAAUCAAAUGAGAUAGCAUAUAUGCAAUAGUGCUCUGAAAGCUAUAAGCCCUUUCAUAAGUAAUAGUUGUUUCUACUCAAUAUAGACUGUGGGGAGCAACUGGGAGCAACUCGGACUAGACUAAGUUACUGGAAUUAAGACUUAUUCUAUGCAUCUGCUCUCCCACAAUAUGGCGCUGAGAAGGGAAACAGCUUCUACACAGCUGCCUCCAGUUCAACCAAUAAACUGUAGGACCUGCUCCUGAUUGGAGGAGAGCAGCGUACUCGGCAUGUGGGUAGCAGAGUUGGGAUUGGUGGAAGAGGACUAUAAAGGAGGAGAGAGACGGCAUGCACCAGGAACAUCUAAGGGGAACAUCUAAGGGAACACCUGUGCAGCCCCCGAGAAGAGCCGGCCGGCGGUGUGCCGCUCCCCUGCGGAAGUGGGGAAUGUGGCCAGGGGGAACUGCCCUUCCACGGAGGUGGAAGGGAUAGUAGCCAACCCGGGAAGAACCAGCAGCAAACCCGGGGAGGGCCGAGCAGACAAAAGAACAGCGCAGGGUCCAGUGUCGCUCCUCCACGAAAAUGGGGAGCGACAUAAUGGUACCGUGACUCGGAUAUGAAGCCUAGGCAGGGCUUAGUGUCGUUCCUCCACGAAGAGGGGGAGCGACAUGAUGGUGCCGUGACUCGGAUAGGAAACUUAGGAGGGAAGAAACGGGAAGAAGUGGAAAAUACCGGAGAGAGAGACUAGCAAAGAGCCUAGGUGCCGGAAGAAGCUAUUGAAAGCCUAGGCAUAGACUCGGAUAUGGACUGUGGGAAAGAAGUUAGGAUUGAAAGCGAAAGUGAAAGCUUUCAUAGGCUCGGAUGCGGACUAUGGCGGGGAAGCUAGGAGAUUGAAAGCGAAAGUGAAACCUGGAGGAGGCUUGGACUCGGAUACGGACUGUGGGGAGAAGCCAGGAGAAGUGAGAGGAAUAUUGUUGGAAGAAAACUUAAGGAAACAUACCGGGUAGAGAAAAAUGUUAGGGAGGAUGAAGCCGCGAGUGCAGGCCAAGGCGGAGACAUAAGCCACCUUGGAAUUCUUCAAGUCACCCCGGGGAGCAAGAGGCGAAGAUCUGGAACCAGAGGCAGAGACGUGGGCCGCCAGGUUGAAAUUCGCCAGGUUAGUCCGGGGAACUUGGACUGAAUGCCGGUGGUGGCGGAAACAUUCGCGGAAGCCGCCGCGUGCAGAGAGAGCACGGGGCGUGAAUAGAUAGGGAACGCGGGGCUGGCGCGAGGCCCUGGUGCGGGCACGAAGUGCGUGGAGACCGCGGAGCGUGCACGCAGAGCCGGGAGCCCGCCGGCGGGGCUAGGCGCCGGGAAGCCGCGCAGAGCCGUGAAGCUGCCGCGGGGCGGGAGCCGGGAAGCCGCGGGGAUAAGAGAAACAGAAGUUUAGAAGUAAAAUGAGAGAAAUAGGAAUGCUGGAAGAUAGAAGUAAAAUGGGAGAAAUAGGAAUGCCCGGAGAUAGAGAAAUAGAGAAAUAGAAAGGCCUCCCCACAACAUGGCAAUGAGAGAGCUUGGAUUCGGUCUGCCUGAUUAGUGAGGUGGUGAGCACCUGCGGGCGGCUAGCAGCUUAUGCGCCGCAGGUCACCGAAGACAGGCACGUUAUCAACACCAAUAAGUCUCCCCACAAUACGGCAAUGAGAAGGCUUGGAUUCGGUUUGCCUGAUUGCUAGGGCUUGUAAGCACCUGCAGGCAGAGCAGAGCAUGCGCUGCAGGGCACCGAAUACAGGCACGCAUCAGCACCUAAAAACCUCCUCACAACAUGGCGAAGAGAGGACCCAGAUUCGGUUUGCCUGAUUGAUAGGACUUGUAAGCACCUGUGGGCAACUCUAGCAAGCAGAGCAGAGUGUGUGCCGCGGGACACCGAAGACAGGCGCGUAUCAACGCCAAAAAAUAAAAAGAAAGGGGGAUCUGUGGGGAGCAACUGGGAGCAACUCGGACUAGACUAAGUUACUGGAAUUAAGACUUAUUCUAUGCAUCUGCUCUCCCACAAUAUGGCGCUGAGAAGGGAAACAGCUUCUACACAGCUGCCUCCAGUUCAACCAAUAAACUGUAGGACCUGCUCCUGAUUGGAGGAGAGCAGCGUACUCGGCGUGUGGGUAGCAGAGUUGGGAUUGGUGGAAGAGGACUAUAAAGGAGGAGAGAGACAACAUGCACCAGGAACAUCUAAGGGGAACAUCUAAGGGAACACCUGUGCAGCCCCCGAGAAGAGCCGGCCGGCGGUGUGCCGCUCCCCUGCGGAAGUGGGGAAUGUGGCCAGGGGGAACUGCCCUUCCACGGAGGUGGAAGGGAUAGUAGCCAACCCGGGAAGAACCAGCAGCAAACCCGGGGAGGGCCGAGCAGACAAAAGAACAGCGCAGGGUUCAGUGUCGCUCCUCCACGAAAAUGGGGAGCGACAUAGACGAAUCUUGGAAGCACAAUGUUGAGUGACCAAAGCAAAAGCCUGGGGAUUUUCUGUAACACCGUACCAUUUUGAUCACUCACAAACAACCUGUAGGUUAGGCUACCUAUGUAUGUGAUAAACCAGAUAAAGAAUAAGAAACCAUGAGAGGCACAAGAUUCAGUGCAAAUUCAUUGGAGAGGUUGGGAGGGUGAGACAGAGGGAGAACACCAGGUGGACUCAUGUUCUAGUUUUGGGGAAGUGGUAGGUCUGAGGCAUUCAUUAUAGUUUUAUGCUGAGAGUUAAGUCACCUAUAUUUCAUAGUUAUAUAAAUCAUAUAAAGAAAAUAAUAGCAUUAAUUCUAGAUAGAGCUAUAUAAGAGUAAUUCAAAUCCUAAUUUUGUCUCUGAACCGUUAAUUACACUUUUUGGUUCACCAGCUUUUUAAAAUUGCUUCCUUUCACCUUCCCUCCUUCAUUCCUGUUGAAAAAUCACUCUUGCAGCUGAGGCUUGUGCCAUGUGGCGUGUGCAGAAGCAGGGGAUGCAACGUAGCGUGGUGCGUAAGCUAGCACAGUAGUCGUGGACGCUGGAGCCAGCCCCUGCUCUUUGUUGUCUGGGCUGUGAGCAAGGUUGCUAAACAUCUCAUUGCCUCAGCUUCCUCAUCCUUAAAUUGCAGGUACAAGCCAAGUUCAAUCACAGGGCUGUGGUGGAUAUUAACUGGGCUGAUACACAAAGCAUCCUCCUUGGUGUUAUUGUACCAGAUGCUGAUAAACCCUGUGCUAGCCCUGGAGGCAUAGCCAUGAGAAAGACGAGGGUCUGGUCUGGAACAUUCACUGUGAUGCUCUUCAGAAACAGGUCUGGCUGCUCAGAGCACCGUCACACUGCAUGAUCGCCACAGCUUGGACAAGCAAGCUGCAUUCUUCUGUAAACCCAUUUCCAGAAAGAACAAGCCACUUGGGCCUGUUACCAGCCCCUCCAGCCCCCAAACCAACCCUGUGCAUUCGCUGUGCCUUGAGAGACAACUAGCAGACCUCCCGGCUGAUAGCGGUGGCCCCAUGAGAUAGAGCCGUCCGGCUGCUCACUGAUCACCGUGAUGAGCUGCUGGUAGAAUAUCCGACCAAGCUAGUUCCUAGACAGACGAGGUGAGCUGAACGUGGCACUGAUUUUCUGGUUAUUCCAGCAGCUGUUGCAAACUGUGACUCCUAGGAGGAGAUCACAGACUGCAGACCCAAGAAAAACUCAGAUGGAAGUCUAUUUCAGUCAAGUUAGUUGUGACUAUGGGAUGAGAAUUUUGUUUGCAGGAAUUAAUUAUUCACAUAUUUUUGAGGCUCGGUGGAAAGAUAAUGCAUUUUCUUCUGUUCACUGUGGUGAUAAAAUACUUUUUGUCUUGUGCUUUAUAUUUUUGGAGGAAAUCCUGUAAUUAUUUACUGACCUAUUUACUCUGCAGAUUUCAUGAAAAAUUAUGAGUUUCUUAGAUUAAUUGGAGAUAUUGUAAUUUAGUAUGAGAACUCGUUUAUAUUGUUUUACUUUUGCAGAGACAUCCAAGUUAGGAUGAGAAACUAGGCUAGCAGAGAAUGAUGACGACUGCAAGAACCAGAAGUCAUGAACACAAGUAUGCAAACAUGUGGUUUGGGGCAGAAACCAGAUGGAGAGGUUACUGUGAAUGUCAAGCUAGAAGCAGGAGAAAGAGAAUUGAGAAAGGGAGGAAGACAGAGCAGGAAGGACAAGAUGGGAGGUGAAAGUGUGGGUGAACAGCGUGUCCUGGAGAAUUCAUGCAGCUGACCCAUUCCCCAGCAGAGGAGGGUGGGACGCGACCCUCUGGCUCUGGCCGAAGCCCACUUCUCAUCUGGCCCGUGUUGCUUCCCUGUGUAACGGAGGCCAUUUCCCUGGGUGUUCCAGUUUAGGAAAAGGCAGGAGAAGCUCUGACAGCUCUUCCCAAGCCUGGAGUUGGUGUUCUGUUUGGUUUUUGAUGCGUUGAGGCGAGCACUGGGCUGCUCCUGUCCCAUCCCAUCCCACACAUGGCUGCAUCUGUCUUGCUUCUGAAGGCCACGCCCCUUGCCCAGCACUGUGAAGGCAUCUCACCCGUCUCAUCGCUCACUCCAGUAGGCAGCUGGGUCUUGCUGUAACAGCCUGGACUUUAGGAGGUGGAGAAUCUAGGACUUCUAAUUGAACUUUCUUUCCAAGGUUCUACUAGGCAUAUCUAGAGUUUCCGUAUAGCUCCCUUUCCAAGAUAUAAAUAACUCCCCAUAUAGGCAGCAGUGUAUACAGGGUACUCGGCAUUUGUCGUCUGCCUCCAUUCACCAUUGCUUGUGGUUCCUACACCCCAGCAAGGCUGUGAACAGGCUGUGAGUGCAGCAGAGGGCUUCUCUGUGGAGUUGGCAUACAGGACUAUUCUAUCACAUACGUCCAUGUGGAAGAGCUAAGUGCCAACUACUCACGUUAAAGUAUGGCUACCGUGUGAACAAAAACUGUCUCAGAACUUCAGAGAUGUCACAGGUCAUACUGUCUAGGACAGAACUAACAACAAAGAGCAAACUUUGUUAGAAAAGAAGCCAUUGUCACCAGUGAGGAGAGUCUGGUCUUGAAGCUCCAUUUGCCUUCACAAUUUGGUUAGACAUCAGGAGUGUCUGUGUUCUACGUCUAGAUCCAAAUGUAUGUAAAAAGAGAAGCAAGUGUUUCAUUUGGGCUUUUGAAAACUUGACAUAUUGGGAAUCUAAUAAUGCACAGAACAAAGUCAAUCUAGGACUAGAAAAAUGUUUUAUAUUACAAGUCAAAAUUAGGAUUUUUAAAAGUCAAAAGAAGAAACAAAUAGUCGUCUUUGUGUGCACUAAAAAUAGAAGUUAGUAUAAUGAAACAGGUUUGCUUCCCUUGUAAUAGCAAUUACUGCUGAGGUUUUCCCAAGAGAACAGUUGACAAAACAGAGGUUUCUACUCUGGGUUCUGUGGUGGAUUCUGUGUUCGCAUUGACUUAAAUUCUUUAGUUUUAGCCUGGUUGAAACAGCUGUACCAUAUCGCUCUUGUCUUAUGGACACAGAACACAGCACUGUUUUGCUGGUAGAAGGAUUUUUUUGUUGUAAACGUGCUUGCAACUAACAGCAAAACUCAAAGUUGCCACCAACUGGAGGCAGCAACUUUUAAAAAGUUGUUCUAUUGUUUUUGUUUCAGAGAUAAAGUGCUAUAUAUUUAUCUCUUGGGGGUUUCUCUGAGGUUCUAUUCCAUUUCUUUCCUUCUCCACGGUGACAACUGGUGUAAAUUCAGUGUUCUACAUAAUAGUAUAUGUUUUAUACAUGUAUUAUGUAAUUAUAUAUUUAUAAGUACUUUAUAGUUGUUUGCUGAUUAUAAAGCUGUAUAUAGGCUUAUCUGUCAAUGAUAUAUAUUAUUCUACAACUAGCUUUCUUUUGGUUGAGGAUUAUGGCUUUGAGAUUUGGUCAUAAUGAUUCAUGAAGGUCUCAUUUGGGGCGUUUAAAUUGUAGAGUAACUCUUGCUUGUAUAUGCUCAUUUAUCUCCUUUUCUGUUAAUGGACAUUUGUGAUGGGCAGUGAGGAGUAACAGAAGACUUGUAUGUGUGAUCUCCUGUACAGGUAGGGAGUGGCCUGGCUGUGAGUCUACAUGUGAACUUCCUGUCUGUGUGAUCUGUACAGGUGGGGAGUGGCCUGGCUGUGAGUGUCCAUGUGAACUUCCUGUCUGUGUGAUCUCCUGUACAGGUGGGGAGUGGCCUGGCUGUGAGUCUACAUGUGAACUUCCUGUCUGUGUGAUCUCCUGUACAGGUGGGGAGUGGCCUGGCUGUGAGUCUACAUGUGAACUUCCUGUCUGUGUGAUCUCCUGUACAGGUGGGGAGUGGCCUGGCUGUGAGUCUACAUGUGAACUUCUCCACCGUGGAGCACCCCUGGCUCUACAUCUACUAGAGGCUUUCAGAUUGUCUCCUGGUGCUGUACAACCUUCCAGACUGGGUCUUUUCAUGUUUAUUUCCCAGCCUUCUCUGUUUUCAAAGCCUGUUUAUCAUGUAGAAUUUUGAACAUAGUGAAACAGAGUAAAAAUCCUGUUACACAACUCA